GGGUUGUGAGGUUAAGCGACUAAGCGUACACGGUGGAUGCCCUGGCAGUCAGAGGCGAUGAAGGGCGUGCUAAUCUGCGAUAAGCGCCGGUAAGGUGAUAUGAACCGUUAUAACCGGCGAUACCCGAAUGGGGAAACCCAGUGUGAUUCGUCACACUAUCAUUAACUGAAUCCAUAGGUUAAUGAGGCGAACCGGGGGAACUGAAACAUCUAAGUACCCCGAGGAAAAGAAAUCAACCGAGAUUCCCCCAGUAGCGGCGAGCGAACGGGGAGGAGCCCAGAGCCUGAAUCAGCAUGUGUGUUAGUGGAAGCGUCUGGAAAGGCGCGCGAUACAGGGUGACAGCCCCGUACACAAAAGCGCAUGUGCUGUGAGCUCGAUGAGUAGGGCGGGACACGUGGUAUCCUGUCUGAAUAUGGGGGGACCAUCCUCCAAGGCUAAAUACUCCUGACUGACCGAUAGUGAACCAGUACCGUGAGGGAAAGGCGAAAAGAACCCCGGCGAGGGGAGUGAAAAAGAACCUGAAACCGUGUACGUACAAGCAGUGGGAGCACCCUUCGGGGUGUGACUGCGUACCUUUUGUAUAAUGGGUCAGCGACUUAUAUUCUGUAGCAAGGUUAACCGAAUAGGGGAGCCGGAGGGAAACCGAGUCUUAAUUGGGCGUUAAGUUGCAGGGUAUAGACCCGAAACCCGGUGAUCUAGCCAUGGGCAGGUUGAAGGUUGGGUAACACUAACUGGAGGACCGAACCGACUAAUGUUGAAAAAUUAGCGGAUGACCUGUGGCUGGGGGUGAAAGGCCAAUCAAACCGGGAGAUAGCUGGUUCUCCCCGAAAGCUAUUUAGGUAGCGCCUCGUGAAUUCAUCUCCGGGGGUAGAGCACUGUUUCGGCUAGGGGGUCAUCCCG
rnacentral:rRNA from 1 species